rnacentral:misc_RNA from 1 species
GAUGAAGAACGUAGCGAAAUGCGAUACUUGGUGUGAAUUGCAGAAUCCCGUGAACCAUCGAGUCUUUGAACGCAAGUUGCGCCCGAAGCCAUCAGGUUGAGGGCACGUCUGCCUGGGCGUCACAUAUCGUUGUCCAAUGCCUAUUGCAGUGCAAUAGGAAUUUCUAGGGCGAAUGAUGGCUUCCCGUGAGCGUUGUUGCCUCGCGGUUGGUUGAAAAUCGAGUCCUUGGUAGGGUGUGCCAUGGUAGAUGGUGGUCGAGUUAGAACGAUACCGAUCAUGUGCAUGCUCCCCAAAAUAUGGCCUCUAUGACCCACACGCGUCUUUUGACGCUCAUGACGAGACCUCAGGUCAGGCGGGGCUACCCGCUGAAUUUAAGCAUAUCAAUAAGCGGAGGA